UCCAGGUUCCAGCCCCCGUCGAGUCUAGUCCAGGUUCCAGCCCCGUCCGGUCACGUUCAGGUCCAGUCGAGUCACGUUCAUGCCCCAGUCCAGUCGAGUCACGUUCCUGUCCCAGUCCAGUCCAGUCACGUUCCUGUCCCAGUCCAGUCCAGUCACGCUCAGUCCUUGUCCCAGCCAGAGGGCACCGUCCGUCUGACGAAUGUUAGUCACACCCAAUCAGGCCCGACGUCUACUCCGUCAAGCUCGGCAGCUGCAAGCAGUCAGGCCGGCUCCGGAGAGGACGCCGUCCCAGUUCCUGUCGGCCCGUUAGGGGUCGUCCCUGUCCUAGUCGGCUCCAGUAAGGGCGCCGUUCUAGUCCCUGUCGGCUCCAGUAAGGAAAUCGUUCCUGUCCUUGUCGGCCAUGUUGAGGCCGUUCCUGUUCCUGUCGGCCAUGUUGAGGCCGUUCCUGUCGGCCAUGUUGCGGCCGUCCCAGUUCCGGUUCCCGUCGGCCAAGUAGAGGCCGUUCCAGUUCCGGUUCCCGUCGGCCAAGUAGUAGUCCUCCAGGAGGAGGUCGCGCUUGCUGCAGCUCCUGCAGACCUCCAGGAGGAGGUCGCGCCAGCUGGAGUUGCUGUCGCGGUUCCAGUCGACCUCCAGGAGGAGGUCGCCCCCGUUGUGGCUCCAGCCGACCUCCAGGAGGAGGUCGCCCCUGUCGUGGCUCCAGCCGACCUCCAGGAGGAGGUCGCCCCCGUCCUAGUUCCAGCUGACCUCCAGGAGGAGGUCGCACCUGUCGUGGUUCCCGCCGACAUCCAGGAGAAGGUUGCUCCUGCAUCUGUUUCUGGCGGCUCGGCUCCAGCCGCACCUGCACCUGGUCCGGGCGGCUCGGCUCCGGCCGCACCUGCAUCUGUUCCUGGCGGCUCGGCCCCGGCCGCACCUGCACCUGUUCCUGGCGGCUCGGCCCCGGCCGCAUCUGCAUCUGUUCCUGGCGGCUCGGCCCCGGCCCCGGCCGCAUCUGCAUCUGUUCCUGGCGGCUCGGCCCCGGUCGCACCUGCAUCGGGUCCUGGCGGCUCGGCUCCGGCCGCACCUGCAGCGGUUCCUGGCGGCCCGGCCCCGGCCGCGUCUCCACGUCUGUCUUCGUCUCUGGUUCCUGCCUUGUCUCUGUCUCGGCUGCUGGACUGGUGGCCUCGCCCUCGGCGCAUCCGACUGUUUGGAUGGCGCUGCCUCCUGCGGCGACGUCCGCCUCGACUCCUCAGCCCCCCGGAUCAGCGUCCGCCCGGAGGACGUCGCCAUUCGGGGUGGUCCCCGGGGACGUUGGCCCAGCUCAAGGGCACCAAGGGUGCCACCCUGCCUCAGCGGCGGCUGAGCAGGAUCUCGCCACGUCUCCACCCUCCGUGA
rnacentral:lncRNA from 1 species